rnacentral:rRNA from 1 species
UACGUAGGGGGCAAGCGUUGUCCGGAAUCAUUGGGCGUAAAGCGCGUGUAGGCGGCCCGAUAAGUCCGCUGUGAAAGCCCAGGGCUCAACCCUGGGAUGCCGGUGGAUACUGUCGGGCUCGAGUCCGGAAGAGGCGAGUGGAAUUCCUGGUGUAGCGGUGAAAUGCGCAGAUAUCGGGAGGAACACCAAUGGCGAAGGCAGCUCGCUGGACGGUACUGACGCUGAGACGCGAAAGCGUGGGGAGCAAACAGG